rnacentral:lncRNA from 1 species
CUUGGCAACUGCCGGGGAGCUUUGGCGUGGGGCGAGGCGGAGGGAAGGGGACAGUCGCUGGCGUGAGGAGCUGCGGGACGGCAGAGGCCCAGGGAUUUGGCUCUGCCUCCAGCUUGGGCAGGCUGCAUGAAUCCUGCCUCCGCACAAAGCCCAGAGGACCCGGGGCCACCUCCACGCUCUCUGGCUGUCCUGCGGCUCCGUCCCUGAUCAGCGCACCGGGGGUUCUGCCCUGUCCAUGGCACCUGCUGCAUGGAUGAAGGAUACACCUGAGACCAAGAAGCAUGGUGAAUUUCCCAGCGCACAGUCUGUCUGGUGUGGUCACCUCCUUCCUCUUCAUCCUGCUGACCAUGAAGCAGUCAGAUGACUUUAGAGUGGUGGGUCCCGCGCGUCCCGUCGUGGCCAGGGUCGGGGAAGACGCCCUGCUCACCUGCCGGCUCCUGCCCCGGCGGCCGGCCGCGCGCAUGGACGUGCGGUGGUACCGCGCGGAG